GAUGAACGCUAGCUACAGGCUUAACACAUGCAAGUCGAGGGGAAACGACAUCGAAAGCUUGCUUUUGAUGGGCGUCGACCGGCGCACGGGUGAGUAACGCGUAUCCAACCUGCCCAUCACUUGGGAAUAACCUUGCGAAAGUAAGACUAAUACCCAAUGAUAUCCCACGAAGGCAUCGGAAUGGGAUUAAAGAUUUAUCGGUGAUGGAUGGGGAUGCGUCUGAUUAGCUUGUUGGCGGGGUAACGGCCCACCAAGGCAACGAUCAGUAGGGGUUCUGAGAGGAAGGUCCCCCACAUUGGAACUGAGACACGGUCCAAACUCCUACGGGAGGCAGCAGUGAGGAAUUUUGGUCAAUGGGCGAGAGCCUGAACCAGCCAAGUAGCGUGCAGGAAGACGGCCCUAUGGGUUGUAAACUGCUUUUAUAAGGGAAUAAAGUGGGUCACGUGUGACUUUUUGCAUGUACCUUAUGAAUAAGGACCGGCUAAUUCCGUG
rnacentral:rRNA from 1 species